GCGCCUCUCUGAUCUUCCUGCAUGGCUCAGGUGAUUCUGGACAAGGAUUAAGAAUGUGGAUCAAGCAGGUUUUAAAUCAAGAUUUAACAUUCCAACACAUAAAAAUUAUUUAUCCAACAGCUCCUCCCAGGUAUGCAGUAAUUUAUCUCACUUGUCAAUAUAACUCUGUGGCAUAAAAUAUAUAUAGAGAGAUGUGCCAGCUAGGUGUUCUUUAAGCUUAAUUUUGUAUUUAACAUACUUUAAAUUAGAGUACUUUGUCCCCAGAAUGUAUUCUUUAUUGCAGUUACACUGUUGGACCAAGUUUUGCCAGGUGAGUAAUUUAUUCCCUUUCUGUAAAGCAUUCCCUAAAGCUCUGAAUUUAAACUGUGUCCCAAGCAUGGCUUAUGUAACUCUGCUUCCUCUUGCCCUGCAGAUUGCUCAACUUUCAUACUUCUUCCCUACAUUCACCCCAAAAGGAAACUUAAUAACUCCAACAAGUAUAAUCUUUCUAAUAAUUUAGUUAAGCCAGAAUUCAUAAUCUCUGGGAAAGGGUUUUAUGGCAUUCUUUCCACAUUUAAAAGGAUUAUCAAGAAACAAUGUUAUGCUUUUUUAAUCAGUAAACCAGAAUAGGAAGAUAGAAUUGACUACUUAAUAAAUAUUUAGGUUAUAUAACCUGUAGGUGUGUGCAAAAAAUUCACAGUAAUAAAACUGCUAUAGUUUUGAGGUCAAACUACUCUUUGUAAAUAUUAAAUUAACAUCUGCAUAGUCUUUUAUUCGGAACACAUGCCGUAAAUCAGGGAUUGGGAUUUUUUUUUGGUUAAGUGAAAUGAUGUGUGGAGCUACGCCCCAAUCUGAUUUUUCUCAUAAUCUGUUCUUGAUUUUUUUUUGUUUCUUUUUCUUCUUCUUUUUUUAUUUUUUCCAGACAGAGUCUCACUCUGUUGCCUAGGCUGGAGUGCAGUGGUGCAGUCUUGGCCCACAGCAGCCUUUGCCUCCCAAGUUCAAAGGAUUCUCCUGCCUCAGCCUCCUGCCUAGCUGAGAAUACAGGCAUGUGACACCACGCCCAGCUAAUUUUAAAGACAAGGUUUUGCCAUGUUGGCUAGGCUGGUCUGGAACUGUUGACCUGAGGUGAUCCACUCACCGCGGCCUCCCAAAAGUGCUGGAAUUACAGGCAUGAGGCACUGCACCUGGCCUGUUCUUGAUUUUUUUCUUAUCAGGCAUACUAUGCAAAUGCCUUGCUUUAUAUUUUCAUUAACUUAGUAUUAAGGAGAAAUAAAACCAGAACUUCAAGGACGUUUUUAUAUGUACUAAUAAGAAUUUACUUACUUUAAUUGAUAGAAUUGAAAAAGGGAGAACAAAAUGAUAAUGUAAGACUGAAGACUCAAAGGAGUUAUUAUUUAAAUGUAAUUUUAAUAGAGUUUAAAAGUUUGGUAAUCUAGUUAAAAGACCCAAUCACCAGUGGUUAUUUUUGUGCUAUAAAUUGCAUGUCUUUGAAAAUGUCAAAAAAGCUUCUUGUUACUGAUUUUUAGGAUAGUUGAAGUUGGAAGGAAGAAACAUAGUGGUAUUUCUGCAGGGAUGAAAGAUAAGUUCAUUUCUACCUAAAUAUAAAUACAAUUGUCUGAUUAAUCAUAAGACCACUGAAAACCUUAUUCUAGGAAUUAAUAUUUUUUAUCUUAAGAAUUUCAUGUCAUUACCAAUUGUGAUAGGAAUUCUAGGCAGUAUUUCUCAAACUUUAGGCCAGAGUUAUUUCAGAAAAUCCAAAAAUCUCCAUGUGCACUAAGCAUUAUUUGUGGGUGCUGUUGUGAUUUAGUAAAAUAUGAAAUCAUUGGACCAGCUUCAUGGUAACUUUUUGUUACACAGUUUUAUAACCAAUAGCUAUUUGAACAGAUCAUCGAACGUUUUAGACCAUACUCACCAAUAGAAAUGUAAUAUGAGCUACAUAUAAAUUUAAAUGUUCUUGAUACCACAUUAU
rnacentral:lncRNA from 10 species